AGAACCUUGUGAGAACUUUGAAUCCUAGCCCUACAUUGACAUCCAAUGGUUAGGAAUAGAGUGAUUAUUUAAAUACUUUUUGGUGGAAGAUCCCAAUGCAGUUUAUUAUUAUAUCAUUAAUAAUCUAGUACACCCUUUUGUCCAAAGAAUUUUUCCACCAUCCACAUUUACUUCUCUCUCCUACUUUUCACCUACUUCUUCAAUUUUUCUUUCCCUUUUCUCUCACUUCCGUUUUUUCCCCUUCAUCCCCUUCUCAAACCCUAUUUCCUCCCUUUCCUUACCUCUAGUGACUUCUACCAUUUCUAUCAAUCUCUCCAUCCUCUCCAAAAAAUGGUCAUUGGUUCUCCACUAACAUCUGCUCAGGUAUGUUUUCGCGUUUUCCCCCAAAUUUUUCCUUUCUCAUAUAGUUACAUUUAGUUAUUUUCAG
rnacentral:lncRNA from 1 species